AUUGAACGCUGGCGGCAUGCUUUACACAUGCAAGUCGAACGGCAGCGGGGGCUUCGGUCCGCCGGCGAGUGGCGAACGGGUGAGUAAUGCAUCGGAACGUGCCCAGUCGUGGGGGAUAACACAUCGAAAGAUGUGCUAAUACCGCAUACGUCUUGAGGGAGAAAGCGGGGGAUCUUCGGACCUCGCGCGAUUGGAGCGGCCGAUGUCGGAUUAGCUAGUUGGUGGGGUAAAAGCCCACCAAGGCGACGAUCCGUAGCGGGUCUGAGAGGAUGAUCCGCCACACUGGGACUGAGACACGGACCAGACUCCUACGGGAGGCAGCAGUGAGGAAUAUUGGUCAAUGGACGCAAGUCUGAACCAGCCACGUCGCGUGAAGGAAGACGGCCCUACGGGUUGUAAACUUCUUUUAAUACGGGAAUAAAGUGCCCACGCGUGGGUUUUGCAUGUACCGUAUGAAUAAGGAUCGGCUAACUACGUGCCAGCAGCCGCGGUAAUUACG
rnacentral:rRNA from 1 species